rnacentral:rRNA from 1 species
UACGUAGGGGGCAAGCGUUGUCCGGAAUCAUUGGGCGUAAAGAGCGUGUAGGCGGUCCGGUAAGUCGGCUGUGAAAGUCCAGGGCUCAACCCUGGGAUGCCGGUCGAUACUGCCGGACUAGAGUUCGGAAGAGGCGAGUGGAAUUCCCGGUGUAGCGGUGAAAUGCGCAGAUAUCGGGAGGAACACCUAUGGCGAAGGCAGCUCGCUGGGACGUCACUGACGCUGAGGUGCAAAAGCGUGGGGAGCAAACAGG